AUUGAACGCUAGCGGCAUGCUUAACACAUGCAAGUCGAACGAGCGGCGGACGGGUGAGUAAUAUAUCGGAACGUGCCCAGUAGCGGGGGAUAACUACUCGAAAGAGUGGCUAAUACCCCAUACUAUCGGAGCGGCCGAUAUCGGAUUAGCUAGUUGGUGGGGUACAGGCUCACCACGGCAACGAUCCGUAGCUGGUUUGAGAGGACGACCAGCCACACUGGGAGUGAGACACGGCCCAGACUCCUACGGGAGGCAGCAGUGGGGAAUUUUGGACAAUGGGGGAAAGCCUGAUACAGCCAUCCCGCGUGUAUGAGAAGGCCUUCGGGUUGUAAAGUACUUUUGGCGGGGAAGCGGUAUCUGCAGAAUAAGCACCGGCUAACUACGUGCCAGCAGCCGCGGUAAUAC
rnacentral:rRNA from 1 species